rnacentral:lncRNA from 1 species
GAGGGAAGCYGUUGGGCGUCUGAGGCGCCAUGAGCGGCGGUGAGGGCAGGCGCUACCCGGGCCGGCGCUGUCGUGUUUACUAACGUUUCACAGCCAACAGAACUGGCUGGGUUGGACCGCUGUUCACAAACUGAUCUCAACCCUUCCGAUCAGCGAAAAGUCAAGCAAGUAGGACAUCCCCUUUCAACAGAGAUUUAGAUUCAGAACUUUAGUCUGCAUCUCAGCCUGAAAUACAAGACAACAACUAGCUUUUGGCAAAUGCCAUAAAAGCAGCCCUUGGGACCGAGCUAGAGGUUCCUCAGAUACUGUACCCCUAAGGAUUCAUCCUUUCUAAUCUUCUAUUGUGCUGCUCACCUAACAGCAAGCAAGGAACUGCCUCAGCUGGCACCAUGGACAGAGGCCCCCUAUGAAGUGGCUGCAGUUGUAGACCGUCCGUUCCUGACGUGUCUUACUCGUGUGGCUUGGGUAAUUCAGAUUCACUGAAUUAGUUGCAGUGGUAGAUUUUGAGGGUGGAUAAUUCUUCCCUCAAAGCUGGAAAAAAUCAAUGAUUCCUCUCCUGUGAAAUAUCUUUAGUUUGGGGCUAUUUCAUAUUGACAACUGAUAGCUUAAAUAGUCUGGAGUAGUAUUCCCUAACACAAAAUGUGAGAAUAAUAGUAAAUACUAUUAUGAAUCUAUAGUCCAAGCUUGUAGGAUGACACUGGCAAACUUUGUUUUUUGUUAGUAGUCCUCUGCCCUCUAAAAUAUACUUUCAGCUUCCUGCUAUGUACCACCAUUGCUACACCUAAUAAACAUGUACAGUUCUAGCCCUAGGUGAACA